UUCCAGUAAAUACAAGUAAAACCCCCAAAUCCUCAAAUCAGGCAUGGAGAUUCCAGAACCAUGAGCUUGCCUCCAAGAACAGUCAUGCAAGGGAUUCUCAAUUUCUCGUUCCUCCAACUAUGUUGUCAAGUAUAUUUGUCACAGAUCUGUACUUCUCACCAUGGUACAACAGCUAUAAACUUGGGAAACUACACAGAAUGUGAAGCCUGUUCUGCAGACCGCAUAACUGGAAGAGGAUGGGCCUCUGUAUUGAACACAUACUUAUCUAGGGGAAGGGUAUUGUUUUCAUCAAACAGUAAAUACAAAUACUUCAAUGUUUCUCCAAGAAAGAAAGUUUCCAUUUUAUCUCUCGUGGAAGGAGGUAGGCUUGUGAC
rnacentral:misc_RNA from 1 species